GACGUAGGGCGCGAGCGUUGUCCGGAUUUAUUGGGCGUAAAGAGCUCGUAGGCGGCUUGUCGCGUCGACUGUGAAAACCCAUGGCUCAACCAUGUGGUCUGCAGUCGAUACGGGCAGGCUAGAAUUCGGUAGGGGAGACUGGAAUUCCUGGUGUAGCGGUGAAAUGCGCAGAUAUCAGGAGGAACACCGGUGGCGAAGGCGGGUCUCUGGGCCGAUACUGACGCUGAGGAGCGAAAGCGUGGGGAGCGAACAGG
rnacentral:rRNA from 1 species